UACGUAGGGUGCAGGCGUUAAUCGGAAUUACUGGGCGUAAAGCGUGCGCAGGCGGUCUUUUAAGUCAGAUGUGAAAUCCCCGGGCUUAACCUGGGAACUGCGUUUGAAACUGGAAGGCUAGAGUGUGGCAGAGGGGGGUGGAAUUCCACGUGUAGCAGUGAAAUGCGUAGAUAUGCGGAGGAACACCGAUGGCGAAGGCAAUCCCCUGGGCCUGCACUGACGCUCAUGCACGAAAGCGUGGGGAGCAAACAGG
rnacentral:rRNA from 1 species